GCGCUCGCUUCAGCAGCACAUACACUAAAAUUGAAACGAUACAGAGAAGAUGAGCACGGCCCCUGACAAGGACGACACGCAAAUUCGUGAAGCGUUUCAGCUGUAA